GACGAACGCUGGCGGCGUGCUUAACACAUGCAAGUCGAACGGUAAGGCCCUUCGGGGUACACGAGUGGCGAACGGGUGAGUAACACGUGGGUGAUCUGCCCUGCACUUUGGGAUAAGCCUGGGAAACUGGGUCUAAUACCGGAUAGGACUUCUGGCUUCAUGGAUGGGGGUGGAAAGAUUUUGCGGUGUGGGAUGGGACCGCGGCCUAUCAGCUUGUUGGUGGGGUAAUGGCCUACCGAGGCGACGACGGGUAGCCGGCCUGAGAGGGUGACCGGUCACACUGGGACUGAGAGACGGCCCAGACUCCUACGGGAGGCAGCAGUGGGGAAUAUUGCACAAUGGGCGCAAGCCUGAUGCAGCGACGCCGCGUGAGGGAUGACGGCCUUCGGGUUGUAAACCUCUUUCAGCUAUGACGAAGCGCAAGUGACGGUAGUAGCAGAAGAAGGACCGGCCAACUACGUGCCAGCAGCCGCCGUAA
rnacentral:rRNA from 1 species